AUUAUUAUUAUUAUUAUUAUUAUUAUUAUUAUUAUUAUUAUUAUUAUUUUGUUUUUAAAUCAAAUGAAGUCCUGCAUAAACAGUAUACUCGCGGGUUUGAUGCCCGACGUGUGAGUCUAAAGAGAGAGAGAGAGAAAAAAAAAAAAAAAACGGCAUUCGUGCGGUCCGCUUAACCAAACGGACACAUCCUAAUUACACGCAUAUAUCGAUAUAAACGCAAAUGACAAACCAAGUAUAAGACUGAACCUACCGGGAAAGGUAAUAACCACAGUUAAGCGAUCCGCACAUCUCGCCACGUCUGACCUCAUAUUCAUAAAACAAGGAUGAUCCCGACUAAGCGGAAAGCAUCGUUCGUGAUUCAUGAAUUCCAUCGAAACGAAUAAUUGUUCACAUCGAUUAUACCUAUUAUCGAUAACACUUGUUUCGAUUGUUGUCUAACGAUUUUCUUCCUACUUCAUAGCUUUCCGUUUCAGGUCGCGGCCCUCAUUGAUUCGCCUUUGAUUCAGUCACGCGAAUAUCAGUUUAUGAAUAUGCGCGUCUUAUAAUAUAAAAAAAAAAAAAGGGAUGGUGCACCAGCUAGUGUUUAGAUCGGAUAAGCUCCUUGUGAAAAAAGAAAAAAAAUAAUGAAAGCUCACUCGAUGGUGGUUCUCAUAGCCGAUAAAUACUAAUCAUUAAGACAGCCUGCCAAGAAUCAAACUAUUGUAAAAUAUCAAACGAACGCUAGCCAGUACAGAAUGCUAAGAUCUAUUUUUUAAGAAGCGAAUGUAUAUUUUUGUACUAAGGCAGGCCUUAGUGUGAAUCGUAUUUUCUUGCGCAUAAUGGCAAGACGAAAGCUGUGAUCAUAAUAUCAUUUCGGCUUAGCGAGAGAUACAAUGAAAGAAAAAUCGUACUAGGAAAGGAAAGGGAGGAAAGAAAUAUGAAAAAUAGCAGAAGUAACGCACGAUGGCAUUUACAAGAGAAGGGAUAAUAACAAAUGUGUUCCUUGCUAGUGUUAUACCGAGUGGGCUAUAAAUAAAAAGGAAAUCGAAAGAAUAAAACAUCUGUGAUAAAAUAUAAAAUCUUAGAAAAAGGUGCUCGAAAAAAAUGGCGAAAAAGAGAACAAAUGAAAAACAAGCUUAUGUUAAAAAUAUAAUAGAAAAAAAAAAAAAAAAUUUGAAACAAAAUGGAGAGAAUAAUAUAAGUAAAGAUGGAACACUGUGUGUAUUAGGAAAACGAUACGCGAUAUGAAAUUCCUACAAAGAAAAAUGUUUAGAAGUGCUUUUAGAAGAUCUAUGCGAAAAAUGUUUGUCGUAUAUGACUAAUCGAUGGAGAUUGUCUUUUAAUGAGAUAGCCCGGUCUAACUAUUGUAGUGGGUACCGUCUUGUGAUAUCCUUAAUUAAAA